rnacentral:rRNA from 1 species
GUGGGGAAUAUUGGACAAUGGGCGCAAGCCUGAUCCAGCCAUGCCGCGUGAGUGAUGAAGGCCUUAGGGUUGUAAAGCUCUUUCAGUGGGGACGAUAAUGACGGUACCCACAGAAGAAGCCCCGGCUAACUUCGUGCCAGCAGCCGCGGUAAUACGAAGGGGGCUAGCGUUGUUCGGAUUUACUGGGCGUAAAGCGCACGUAGGCGGAUCGUUAAGUCGGGGGUGAAAUCCUGGAGCUCAACUCGAGAACUGCCUUCGAUACUGGCGAUCUUGAGUCCGGAAGAGGUGAGUGGAACUCCUAGUGUAGAGGUGGAAUUCGUAGAUAUUAGGAAGAACACCAGUGGCGAAGGCGGCUCACUGGUCCGGUACUGACGCUGAGGUGCGAAAGCGUGGGGAGCAAACAGGAUUAGAAACCCUUGUAGUCC